GCGGGGUUCCUAUGCAGUGCGAAGCGAGGUAGGCUGGGAACCAGGUCAGGGGCGGCAUUCGGCUGCGCGGGAAGAGCCAGCGGGUGAAACCGAGGGUCAGGACGGUGCGGCAAGGGCGAACCGACGCGUCCUGUGGCGUGGGCUUCACCUUGGACUACGUUCUCCUCGCGGCUCGGUCGGCGCCGCCUCCCGUGUGAGGAGCUGACGCCUGGAACCCUGCAAACCCAUCCCGCGUGACACCCGCGUCGCAGCUGCCCGCACCCCCUCGGAGGCAGCGCACUCCUCCCUGGCCACGGGUGGCCGAAGCCCCACCAGCCUCCAGGUCAGAUGUCCUUUCUCCUUCUCCUGCCGCGGCUUAAUGGAGAAUUCCUUCUGCUUUAGGGAAAUGACUUGAAAGUUGCUCAGUUGGAGUCACGUGUGACUAAACACACAUUUGGUUUAUCCCAGAAAUAGAUGAAAUUCUCAGAGAGGAGGAUUCUUUUCAAUCUCAUAGAUCGUGGGGAUUUCUAAAGAUUUUCCUGUGUUCAGACUUCAAACUACCCUAGGGUCGCAUCACCAUCGUGGACAGACACAGAACCUCGGGCAGGUUGUGGAGCGGGGCUGUCCCCCGGGCCGUAUGCCGGUUCCUCAGAGGCUGCUGGGCAGGACUCUGCUGCUUCAGCAAACUUGCCUGGCUAACACCACCCGCUCGCCCUUGAAUGCCUUCCUGGGCGAAGCCAUGAACCCUCCAGGGUUAAGCCCCAAUUUUGGGGCUCACCUGCCCUGCGUCAGAUGGAUACUUAACUUGUAAAGAAACUGGUAGCUGUCCAAAGUGCUAGGAAAAAGGAAAAUUCAUUAAACAAAAUCAUUGUCAUAA